UAGUACCACGCCAUUCGUCCGCUCUUUUUGCUCACACGAAAUUGAUCAGAGAGAGAGAUUGAUACGUUUUAUCAUCAAUCAAUUCACUAGACUUUCCAUUUUGGUUAAACCAUUCCUUUUCAAUUUGUGCGAAGACAAUGGAUCAAGCAUUCAAGAUCACGGUUGAUGUGAAAAGGAUUUUAACAUAAGAAAAUUCCCUGGUCGUCACUAACUAACAAAAAUAGUCAUACGUGCAGGACAACGAAAUAGCUGACCUGACUUUAGGCGAUUGAAGUUUUGGUUUACAUAACGUGUACGUGCACUGUUGUUGCCGCUUUGACCUGUUUCCUUGCAAUUGUUAAGAGCUUCUAAUUAUUGGAUUCCAUUUAUCGGUGCUUUCCCGACGAGGGUUGUAGUCCCUGGGGACAGUAGUUGCACGGUUUGCGGCUUGUGAUUCGGCAAGAGUAACAUGGUUGCAAGUGUAUUUAUGGCUUAAGUUGCAGGCUCCUCCUCCAUUCGAGUAUUUGGGUCAGGCUCUGUAUUUUUGCCUUUGUUUGGACGUGCCAAAGAGGAACAAAAAAGCGAGAUGCGGUCUUUGUAAUGAUGGUGUGGAGGAUUUGGAUGCGAAGAAACGAUAAGCUUUUCAAGGGGAGUAACAUGUCUUAGACAAGAGUAAUGCAAGACAUUAAAGAAACAACCCUUUGGUAGGUGAUGAAGAGAUAUAAGAUUGUAGGUGUUACGGCGUUGAAGUGGUCGUCAUUUAGCGUCUUCGAUGUUGGUUAAGAUAGGUGGUAUACGGGUGUUGUGAUUUUGUUUCUGCAGGUUGAUGUUUGUUUGGUGUUUCUGUGGUGUAUGAUGUACUAAGUUAUGUGGGCUUGGCUUAACUCCUUCAUGAGUCCUAGCCCAUGUUUUGGGUGUCCAUUGAAUAAAGUUUGGUUUAAAAAAGUAA